UGGGGAAUCUUCCACAAUGGGCGAAAGCCUGAUGGAGCAACGCCGCGUGUGUGAUGAAGGGUUUCGGCUCGUAAAACACUGUUGUAAGAGAAGAAUGACAUUGAGAGUAACUGUUCAAUGUGUGACGGUAUCUUACCAGAAAGGAACGGCUAAAUACGUGCCAA
rnacentral:rRNA from 1 species